CUCAGUGGUACCUCUGUGACACUUGGACUUAUUAUUGGAGGUUUACUAAUGCUGAUCCUCUUGGCCAUUUUAUAUGUCUGUAAAGGUAAAGCAAAUUCAAAGACUGCAGAAGUUUCCUCAAUAUCAAGAGUAGAAGAUGUUACUGGAAUUAAUCUGAGGUAGGCUAUUCCAGACAUGGGAGCUGUUUAUGCCAAUACAGCUGUGAUGUCAUCUGCUGGAAACACGAAUUACCCAGAAUCCUCCCCAUAUUCUUCUUUUGACUUUACAAAGAACCAAAGACAGCACACAACUGAGACUUUUAAACCGCUGAAUGAGCAAACAGUAUAGAAAGAGAAAUAUAAUUUAGCAGGUUACAGGGAAAGAAAUGCCCAAGAAAUGUUACUUGCUAACAAACUCAGGUAAAGUUUUUGACCUUAAUGGUCAUCAAAUUAAAUAUUGUCAACCAAAUUCCUAAGAUAACAGGUCACCUUCAUAUGUAGAUAUACACUAUAUCACAAUUUAAUUUCAGGUUAGUUGCUUAAAAAGUCUCAAUUUUAAUGUAUUUAAUAUUUUGUCAAACCAAU